CCUACGGGAGGCAGCAGUGGGGGAUAUUGCACAAUGGGGGGAAGCCUGAACCAGCCAAGUCGCGUGAGGGAAUAAGGCCCUACGGGUCGUAAACCUCUUUUGCCGUGGAGCAAGGGCUGGGACGUGUCCCGGCCCGGAGAGUACCCGGAGAAAAAGCAUCGCCUAACGCCGUGCCAGCAGCCGCGGUAAUACGGAGGAUGCGAGAGUUAUCCGCAUUUAUUGGGUUUAAAGGGGGCGUAGGCGGGCUUUUAGGUCAGCGGGAAAAGUUCGGGGCUCAACCCCGGCCGGCCGUUGAAAGUGGGGGCCUUGAGUGGGAGAGAAGGAGGCGGAAUGCGUGGUGUAGCGGUGAAAUGCAUAGAUAUCGCGCAGAACCCCGAUUGCGAAGGCAGCCUUCCGGCGCCCUACUGACGCUGAGGCACGAAAGUGCGGGGAUCGAACAGGAUUAGAUACCCCAGUAGUC
rnacentral:rRNA from 1 species